CGCAGCCGCGGUAAUUCCAGCUCCAAUAGCGUAUAUUAAAGUUGUUGCAGUUAAAAAGCUCGUAGUUGAAUUUCGGGGUCAGUGAGUUGGUCGUGCCACUGGUAUGCACUGGCUUUACUGAUUCCUCCUUCUUGAAGAACUGUAAUGCUAUUAAUUUAGUGUUGCAGGGAAACAGGACUGUUACUUUGAAAAAAUUAGAGUGUUUAAAGCAGGCUAACGCUUGAAUACAUUAGCAUGGAAUAAUGAAAUAGGACGAUCGAUCCUAUUUUGUUGGUUUCUAGGAUUGACGUAAUGAUUAAUAGGGAUAGUUGGGGGCAUUAGUAUUCAAUUGUCAGAGGUGAAAUUCUUGGAUUUAUUGAAGACUAACUACUGCGAAAGCAUUUGCCAAGGAUGUUUUCAUUAAUCAAGAACGAAAGUUAGGGGAUCGAAGACGAUCAGAUACCGUCGUAG
rnacentral:rRNA from 1 species